GACGAACGCUGGCGGCGUGCCUAAUACAUGCAAGUCGAACGCAUUUUCUUUCACCGUAGCUUGCUACACCGAAAGAAAAUGAGUGGCGAACGGGUGAGUAACACGUGGGUAACCUGCCCAUCAGCGGGGGAUAACACUUGGAAACAGGUGCUAAUACCGCAUAAUUCCAUUUACCGCAUGGUAGAUGGAUGAAAGGCGCCUUUGCGUCACUGAUGGAUGGACCCGCGGUGCAUUAGCUAGUUGGUGGGGUAACGGCCUACCAAGGCUGCGAUGCAUAGCCGACCUGAGAGGGUGAUCGGCCACACUGGGACUGAGACACGGCCCAGACUCCUACGGGAGGCAGCAGUAGGGAAUCUUCGGCAAUGGACACAAGUCUGACCGAGCAACGCCGCGUGAGUGAAGAAGGUUUUCGGAUCGUAAAACUCUGUUGUUAGAGAAGAACAAGGAUGAGAGUGGAAAGUUCAUCCCUUGACGGUAUCUAACCAGAAAGCCACGGCUAACUACGUG
rnacentral:rRNA from 1 species